rnacentral:rRNA from 1 species
GACGAACCGUGCGAACGUUGUUCGGAAUCACUGGGCUUAAAGGGCGCGUAGGCGGGCUCACAAGUCAGGGGUGAAAUCCCACGGCUCAACCGUGGAAGUGCCUUUGAUACUGUGGGUCUUGAGGGAGGUAGGGGCGUGCGGAACUUCCGGUGGAGCGGUGAAAUGCGUAGAUAUCGGAAGGAACACCGGUGGCGAAAGCGGCGCGCUGGACCUCUACUGACGCUGAGGCGACGAAAGCCAGGGGAAGCAAAGCGGG